rnacentral:rRNA from 1 species
GAGCGGCGGACGGGUGAGUAACGCGUGGGUAACCUGCCCUGUACACACGGAUAACAUACCGAAAGGUAUGCUAAUACGAGAUAAUAUGCUUUUAUCGCAUGGUAGAAGUAUCAAAGCUUUUGCGGUACAGGAUGGACCCGCGUCUGAUUAGCUAGUUGGUAAGGUAACGGCUUACCAAGGCGACGAUCAGUAGCCGACCUGAGAGGGUGAUCGGCCACAUUGGAACUGAGACACGGUCCAAACUCCUACGGGAGGCAGCAGUGGGGAAUAUUGCACAAUGGGCGAAAGCCUGAUGCAGCAACGCCGCGUGAGCGAUGAAGGCCUUCGGGUCGUAAAGCUCUGUCCUCAAGGAAGAUAAUGACGGUACUUGAGGAGGAAGCCCCGGCUAACUACGUGCCAGCAGCCGCGGUAAUACGUAGGGGGCUAGCGUUAUCCGGAAUUACUGGGCGUAAAGGGUGCGUAGGUGGUUUCUUAAGUCAGAGGUGAAAGGCUACGGCUCAACCGUAGUAAGCCUUUGAAACUGGGAAACUUGAGUGCAGGAGAGGAGAGUGGAAUUCCUAGUGUAGCGGUGAAAUGCGUAGAUAUUAGGAGGAACACCAGUUGCGAAGGCGGCUCUCUGGACUGUAACUGACACUGAGGCACGAAAGCGUGGGGAGCAAACAGGAUUAGAUACCCUGGUAGUCCAUGCCGUANNCGAUGAGUACUAGCUGUC